CCCCCCCCCCCCCGCCCCAACCCACCAUGGCCACCAUUACCGCCAUAUAAUUACAACUCUAGAAAAAAAGGGCCACAAUUUAAAGGUACCAAUCCAAGAAUUUCAUUUUCGUUUCCUUUUCAUACCGCACUAAUUUCUGCAAAUCAAGAAGAAGUUUCAAUAACCUAGCAAUGGAUGUCAAUUUGUAAAUGUUCGGAUUGAGGUAUUGACUAACAAGAAUUAUAGUGGAAGUAUAUACUUUAAAUAAAUUGAUUUCAAAAGCGAAAAUUUGAACAGAGGUACAGUAGUGUAAUUCUGGGUCCGAAUUAAAUCUGUGAGUGUGCGAACUGCUCCGAAUCUUCAAGAAGCUCUUUCGUUUUUCUUAAUUUCAAUAGUAAGUCCUUCGUUUUCUAGAGCUGUAAUUAUAUGGUGGAGGGGAUGGAAAUUUUAGUGGUGGAAGAGCGGAGGAGUAAAAUGGGUUAGGAGGUGAUGAGGUGGCAAUGCCAUGUGGUAUCCACCUCAUCCAAUGCCACUGCCACGUAGGAUAGGAUGCCCAAGGUGGCCAACUUUAACGGAUGAAGGGUAUAUUUGAGUCAAUAGUAUAACGGCAAGGGUAUAAUUGGACCCAAAGUAUAACGAAAGGUAUAUUUGACACUUUUCCAAUAGUACAGGGGUACAUUUGGCCCUUUUCCGAAUAAUAAAUAUAUUAAAAAAAUAUAAAUGAUUAUGUAUUUAAAUAAAAGGGCUUCUCCUGAUUAAGCUUUCCUUACUUUGUAUUGACUGUGUACAUAGAAAAAUAUGACCUAUCUUUGUCCACUAUAAUCCAUUGAAGUGCCUUGUUGAGAAAAAAAAAAUUGAAGGUACAACAAACAACAAAAGAAACUGGAGAAAUUAUGAAGUUAUCCCUUUUUAUAGAGUUAUUUAGUAAAUGAUUCUCUUUUAUUUAUCUUACAACUUAUGAAUUUUUAGACCACAGUUUAAAUAUUUCUUUUGAGUUAAUCGAAAAUUGUAAAGUUUAAAACUUUGUAAGUUAUCCAAACAUUGGAUGACAAUAUAAUAUCUUGUAUGUCAGAUUGAGAAACAUAUGAGCAAGCAUUAGACUCAAGUCUAAUGUUAUCUAGAACUAUAUUUUUUUACGGAUUAUAUAUUAAAAGGAAUAUUUACUUGAUGUAGCUUCUUAUAAGAGCUAAAUAUUGAUAAUAACUACUCCUUUCAUUUAUUUAUAUUUAGUAGCUAAUUUACUUUUCUAAGCUACCAUUCAUAUCUGUAUCAGUAACUUACAGUUACUGGUACACAUACACACCGUAUUAUAAGCUACCCAUAUUCCACUUUUAACGGUUACAUCUUUAAUCAACUCAAAUUCUCUCUCAUUCUUCAUUAAUCCUCAUAGUAUUUUUCUCCAUUACCUCCUUCACGAUUCCACAUCCGUAAAUCAUUGUUCCGAAAUUUUGGGGAAGGUGUAUUUGGGUAGAUUUUUCCUUCUAUUAGUGUAUUUUGUUCAUAAUAACUUCUUCUUUUCCACUAAUUUCAAGCCAAUUGAAGUAUCAAAUUGUUAGGUUUUCAAGCCAAUUGAAGUAUCAAAUUUAUCCAUUAAUGGUCGACAGAACAAAAUCAAACAUGGUUACUCGAGGUAUACCUUCUAUUGUUCAAAAUAUGGAUUUUCCUUCUUUUGACUUGGAGAUUUCUCAACAACAAAAUGAUGUUGUUGCACGUUCUAUCGAAAGAAUGGUUGUUGAAAGCCAUACGAAGAACAUUCAUGAUCCUUCCCACAUGCAAAGGCUUAAAAAAUCGGUAAUUUCAAAAUCAACAAAGAAAAUAGAUGCCGUAAAAGAGAUGAAAAGGAGAAAGAUUAGUGAUGAAGCUUCAGUUAGCAAGGGGAAAAAAGCUAUAGAACCAGAAGUAGAACCACACAAGGAGCUUGAACUAGCGAUGAAGCAGGAUGAUAAAUUCUUUAUUGAAUAUCCUCCCAGUCAUGCAAUACGCUAUGCUUCGUACAUGAACCAUAAAAUUAAAAUAGAAUUGAAGGACAAGCUUACCGAUAGACACUACAAGCUCUUUUCUGAAACUAUAUUUGGAAAAUACCUCCAGAUGCAGCACUGUGAAGUUCAAGGACAACUAUUCAGUUGUUUCAUGGUCAGAGAGUUGAAGAAAAGUACUCCCGAUGCUUUUGUUAUUGAUAUUAAUGGUUUCAAAUUGACAAUUACUCUUUUUGAUUUUGCAUUAAUGUUUGGGUAAAAGUGUUACGGUGAAGAAAUUAUUUUUACGGAUUCUAAAAAUAGACUUUUGGAUACAUAUUUUGGUGGUUCUGAUAGUUAUUAAUGGUUUCAAAUUGACAUUUACUCUGGUUAAAUGCUUCACGGAUCAGUAUUGGGGUGUCAAUGCUGAUGCAGAUGAAGGUGAUGUAAAGAUCGAGUUGCUGUUUUUCAUUCAUUCCUACAUCUUUUCCGGUGAGAAGAACUCUGUCAUCAUCCCAAGGCUUCAUUUUGACUUGGUAGAGAGUGGAUGGUACAAAGACUAUACAUGGGGUUUUGAUCAGAAGUCUUCACCAUAAGAUGGAUAAGACGAAACAAUAUUACUGUAGUCGGGGUUUUCCGUUUUCUAUGCAAGCAUGGCUAUAUGAGUGCUGCUCCAAUGUUUACCCAAAUUUGACAGUAAAAAAUGGAAACCGUAUUCCAAGAAUUUUCAACUGGAGAACCAUAGAUGUAAAACCGCCUUUCAAAGAUCAGAUGCUGGCAUGUUCAAAGAUGACGACUCAGAGGACCGUCUCACUUAUAAGAAAUAUUGUGCCGACCAUCAAUGAGGUUGAGUUUCUUGUAUUGCGUCCAUAUCUCAUCAGUAAACCUGAAUCAACACCUCACAAACAAUAGGUUGAAGAUGAAUACACUGACUUUAGUUCCACACCACCCCAUUUGGCUACGGCUAAACAGACUCGGAAAAAAGGUGUAUCACAGUCUCCACCUCACAAGAAGCCGAGACAAAUGCGAAUGGUACCAUCGCCAGUGAAGAAGACAGCAUCUCCAAUUCCACGUUUUGGUAAUCUUUCUAGGGGUGGAUUGACCAGUCCUAUUUUGGCAACAACUAAGUCUGUUUCAACAAAGAAAAACGAACAAUCAUGUCCAAGCCCCCUCCCCCUGUGUUCCUAUUGACGUCCCAUCUACCAGCAAAUCUGAUGAUAUCAAAAGUUUGAGGGAGGAACUUAAUGAGUUUAUGAAGAAUGUUUUUGCCGAAUUCAAGGAUCUUCACAAAGUCACUAACGAAAACUUCGCAAAGGUUUUUGAACAUAUUAAAGUGAAUCAAACUUCAAAAAAAGGGUUGACAGCCAGGCUCCAGCUCAUGUCCAUUUUGAUGACAUACUUCGGUCAGCUGACGACUACAUUCACCAUGAUGCUAGCAUAAAAAUGGAAACUGAUACAAGGCAUGCAACGUCGACAGAGAAUGUUCGGAGUUACGUUCUCUACGAAGAUGGAAGAAGGAAUCCAAAUGGAUGUUCGCACACCAGUUCGGCCUUGAGGGUUCGACUACCGAGGUGGGAAUGGUAGGUGCCCGCGCGAUCCUAGAAUGGAUCGUGACAGGGAGUGGGGAUACAUUAAAGGCAUCUACUGAAGAGAUUCAAGAAGGUGGCGAUCUUUCUGGAGAACACAAGGAAUGAAUGGAAUACGUAUUUCAGUUUCCUGAAGAUGUAUCUGACAAAGUGCCAGACGUAUCAACGAACACUACGAAUAUUGCAGAGGUCCUAACUAAUAUUUCUCUCCCAAUCAUCUCUUCGGGACCAGCUCAUGAAAAGAGUGCCAUGGAACACAAGCAUCGUUCUGUUUUUUAGAUGCCACACAAAGUUGGUAAUUCACAAAUCAUCAGUGUGCGUAUUUUUCAAAAAAAGCAUCCAUUCGCGAAAGAUCCCAUCACUGGCCCAGUUGACGUAGAGCUUUUUGAUAAAUACUUGGUGUGGCUUCAAAAGGGACUGCUUGUCAGGCAUGAAAAAAAAAAGAACAAGGAAGAUCGUUACAAAAAGAAGAUGUCAGCUUUUGAGAUUGAUGCAAAUUAUACGUAUAAUUUUGGCAUCACAAUAUGAUAUGAUCCUAGAUGGAACAAAGGGCACAAAGAUGCUUGGAAGGACAUGGGACGUUUGGAUGAUGUCUUGGGAAGAGAUUGUGGCGACUUCUACACCAAGUGGUUAAAAGCGCAAAGGGCUAAAAGUGCAAAUUAUGGAUAUACGAUCCAAAUCAAGACAAAUUGGGCUACAAUUGCAAGACAGUUGGUGUUUGGAAGAUGAAGAUUUCCAUAUGAGGGCUAUUUUCGAAAUUCCCAAAGAAGACUACCAACCAAACAAGGCACUUGCCUCAUUAAUGACAUUUUUGUAAUAACUUAGUCUUCUUUUAGUCUAGGAAUAUAAAUACUAGACUUAGUUCAUUUCAUUAGUUAGAAUGAAUGAAUUAUGUAUUGAAUGCUCUAAAUGAGUGAUAGCUUGUUUGGCUUAAUAGCCUUUAGGAUUUAGGAUAGUUAAUGGUGGAUUCCAUUGUUGGUUUUGAACCUCAUUUCCAUUGAUUUCAUGAAGAGUUGUUCAUUUGUGAAUUUCAUUUGAA